rnacentral:tRNA from 1 species
UGGGCUGUGGCUCAGUUGGGAGAGUGCUUGUCUAGUAUGCAAAAAGCCCUGGUUCCAUCCCAGCACCUCAU